rfam:Xenorhabdus khoisanae strain MCB contig003, whole genome shotgun sequence.
UAUUUUUUUCUACAAAAAUGAUCCAUCGCCUGUCAGGAUCGCCUUCGGGUGGCGAAACAAAACUCCUGUAGCCUGAAAGGGAGAGCAAAAUUGCGGUACAUCUGCACACUUUUGGAAGCAGAUAUCGUCUGACGAUGAAAGUUAUC